rnacentral:lncRNA from 1 species
UAAUGGUCCCUGUGAAACCCAGAGUCCCAUCUCUGGAGACUGUGAGGGAAGAGGGUUUAAGCAAUGACAAUUAGUUGGGAAUUUUUUCCUUCAUGUCAUCUGUGAGAACCGUCUGACCUCACACUGAGUGUCUUCAGCCUCUGGGCUUCUCAGCCUGGAUCUUUGCUGUGGAGAACCUUGGCAGGACUGACGCUGUUUCUCCA